rnacentral:hammerhead_ribozyme from 1 species
AUCCAGCUGAUGAGUCCCAAAUAGAACGAAGCGCCUGUACUGGAU